AAUAAAAUGGCCCAAAGCCUAAAUCAGAAGAAGAGAAAAAACCACCCUCUUUUUUUUCUUCUUCUUUUGGUCUUCUUCUUCUCCUCUAUAUGUCGGCCAAGGCCACUACUUCUCCUCUACACACUGUGACCAGGAGGUCGUGAUUAUUUUACUGGCUUGAUUGUGAGGUCGCGCUGCACCAGGUGUGGUCGCAACUAUGA
rnacentral:lncRNA from 1 species